rnacentral:lncRNA from 1 species
AUGCUUUUGUUGGUGUGUGUGGGGAAGAGGGAGGGUGUAGAGUGGUGUUUGUGUGUGUGCUGUGCUCCUCCUCCUACAGCAGCCUCGGGAGUCGUUGUGUGGUGUGGUGCUGGUAGCGCGGGAAGGAGUGCUUUAGAACAGGGCUCCGAUUCGGCAUCAUAUUUUAAUUUUCUCUCUCCGUCUCCACUGUGUCUCUAUCUUUUGCUGUCUAUCUUUCUCUUUCCCGCUUUCGCUCUGCCUUGUUCCAUCUCUAUCUCUCUCUCUCUCUCUCCCUCUCCCUCUCUCUCUCUCUCUCUCUCUCUCUCUCUCUCUCUCUCUCUCUCUCUCUCUCUCUCUCUCUCUCUCUCUCUCUCUCUCUCUCUCUCUGUCUCUCUCUGUCUCUCACUGUCUCUCUCUGUCUCUCUCUCGCGCGCACAUCCCUCGCUCUCUUUUUAAAGACACAGGAGGCGCGCGCUGCAUUGCUCCCUCCAGGAAAGAGGCACACCCCUCUCGCUCUUGAGAGUUAAAUAUGGUGGUGGAGGGUGUGAAGGAGGUGAGGGAGAUAGAUAGGUGAGGCAGAGGUUGGUGAAGGGGUGGGGUGGUGGUGGUGGGGGGACUGUUUACGUUAUUUUUGUGUGUGUGUGUGUGUGUGUGUGUGUGUGUGUGUGUGUGUGUGUGUGUGUGUGUGUGUGUGUGUGUGUGUGUGUGUGUGUGUGUGUGUGUGUGUUUGUUUGUGUGUGUGUGUGUGUAUGCGUGUCUUCAAAGUAAUGCUGUCAAGGGAGGCGGAAAAAUGCUGCCAGCGUCUUCUAUUAAUGGGGAGGGGGGGGGGAGAGAGAGAGAGAUUGAUGGAGAGAGAGAGAGAGAGAGAGAGAGAGAGAGAGAGAGAGAGAGAGAGAGAGAGAGAGAGAGAGAGAGAGAGAGAGAGAGAGAGAGAGAGAGAGAGAGGAGAGAGAGAGAGAUAGGGGGAGAGAGGUUGGGGAGAUGAGGGAGAAGGAUGAAUUGCAUGCUGGAGAGCAUGUGUCCCCUAGUGACCUGUGCAGGUAAUGAUAUAACCCCCCUAGUGGCUAUGUAGCAGCUAUUGAUGAAAAGGUAUUAGGCUGAAGGCCCCUGCCUUCCACUAGAUUGUCACGACGCAAAGGAUUAGCGGAAGGUGAGAGUGACAAGGACAGCAGUGGGAGGGGCGUUUCUUAGCUGAGGGGCAAAUCAGGGCUGGAUUUAUCUUCUUCUUUUUUUUGCCCAUAAGUGGUGAAUUGUAUCCUGGCAACAACAGUGCGGGAACGAGCAAAAUAGUGUGUGGUCAUAAGUGGUUGUUGAUUAACCUGUUGUGUUAACCUCUCUGGGCAGUAGUUAACCAAGCUUUUAGCCAAUCAAACCAAAUCAUUGUGAUGUGUUGAAACACACACACACACACACAUACACAGGCUACAUGCCACAAGUGGCUAACUAAAAGAAAGACUGGAAACAGAAUGACCCAACACUGAGAUACAGUGAAGUCAAGGGCACCUUAAGGUCACAGAGAUUGUGUUUUUGUUAGGUUCAAUAUUAUUUAUUAUUAUUUAUAUUAUCUAAAAUUUGAGUGUUCAAUCAUUACUUCUAUUAUUAUUAUCAUAAUUAUUAGUACAUAUUAUUAGUAUUAUGCACACUUUCAUAGGCACAAUAUAGGAGCUCAGGAAGAGAUGAAUAGCGUUAAAACGAUACAGAUCCAUUAGGAAUUAGCUACUAAUGUAUUACUAAUUAAAACAAAAAGUCACCACCAGAAAGUGAAACGGGAGUGGUACAAUGAAAGCUGACAAAGAUGGACGAUGGCCAGUGAUAUGUCCAUAGAGAGAGAGAGAGAGAGAGAGAGAGAGAGAGAGAGAGAGAGAGAGAGAGAGAGAGAGAGAGAGAGAGAGGGAGAGAGAGAGAGAGAGAGAGAGAGAGAGAGAGAGAGAGAGAGAGAGAGAGAGAGAGAGAGGGAGAGAGAGAGAGAGAGAGAGAGAGAGAGAGAGAGAGAGAGAGAGAGAGAGAGAGAGAGAGAGAGAGAGAGAGAGAGAGAGAGAGAGAGAGAGAGUCCACAGAGAGAGCAGACAGAGAGGGAGAAAGAGAGAGAGGGAGAAAGAGAGAGAGGAGAUGGAUAGAUAAAAGAGGAGGAGAUAAGGCCCGGUAGUAUCGACUGUGAUGAAUAAUGUAUGGGUCGGACUGCGCAUGUGUAAAAACGCAGGGGGACUCUCAUGCUGUCGGUUUCACCCAGCUGCUCCACAGACAGAAGAACAGAAGAACAAGGAGGAAAGUAAUCGCAAACUUGGGUAGUGCUGUCAACUCGCAGCUUCAGAGAGACCUGUGCGAGUGUGUGUGUGCAUGUUUGUGUUUGUGUGUGUUGUGUCUGGGGUCUGAUGUGGCUGUGUUUGAUCUGCUCUCCCUAGUUGCCUUGGCUCCAGCCUGCUAUGGAUUUCAACACUGGAAAAUGAACAGCAACCUGAACCAGUUUCGACCAGCUUAUAUAAUCGUUUAUUUGAAUCACAUUGGAGGCUUUUACGACACACACAAACACACACACAGGGGG